rnacentral:rRNA from 1 species
UGAAGAAGGCCUUCGGGUUGUAAAGCUCUUUUGUUGGGAAAGAAAUCCUGUCGGUUAAUACCUCGGGGGGAUGACGGUACCGGAAGAAUAAGCACCGGCUAACUACGUGCCAGCAGCCGCGGUAAUACGUAGGGUGCGAGCGUUAAUCGGAAUUACUGGGCGUAAAGCGUGCGCAGGCGGCUGUGCAAGACAGAUGUGAAAUCCCCGGGCUCAACCUGGGAACUGCAUUUGUGACUGCAUGGCUAGAGUGCGUCAGAGGGAGGUGGAAUUCCGCGUGUAGCAGUGAAAUGCGUAGAGAUGCGGAGGAACACCGAUGGCGAAGGCAGCCUCCUGGGAUGACACUGACGCUCAUGCACGAAAGCGUGGGGAGCAAACAGGAUUAGAUACCCUGGUAGUCCACGCCCUAAACGAUGUCAACUAGUUGUCGGGGAUUCAUUUCCUUGGUAACGCAGCUAACGCGUGAAGUUGACCGCCUGGGGAGUACGGCCGCAAGGUUAAAACUCAAAGGAAUUGACGG